UCCCCGAUAACAAUGAGUAUUUUAUAACCACUUGCUUAUUUAAAAUAUUUGCACAUUUUACCCAUAACUAAUCACAUUAAUCGAAUCUACCCCUUACUAUUUCAAACUAAUAAAUAGAGGAAAUUCCAUUUUAUUCAAAAAAAAAUGGGGUUUUAUAAAUGAUCACUUCAUAAUCUGGUCCCUGGCUCACAAAACUAGCAUAAUCUUGCGUUGACCCUCAGUAGGCAAUUGGUAUUAUCCAUUGAUGUCCUCUUCACCAACUUCAACAGUUUUUCCUAGUACAUACACUGCAUAGUGGAAGUGCUCAGAAACGUUGUCGUAGAAUUCCUUUUCCACUGCAAUGACCGUCGGGUUAGGCUGUUCGGUGAGAUUGUACCAGUUCCGCUCAACAAUAAUGAGAGCCAUGUCCCCAUAUUUUGUUUGGUUGGGUCUUAAACCUCGUUCCGGGACUAGAGAGCAUGUUUCCAUACAGUUGUAGCACUCUUGGGAUGCGACACUCAUGAACCUCCUGUUGUCAAAUUUUGGCGGGGCCGAUGAUGAACCAAAACCCUCUCUUCGUUGACGCUUUGAGGCCAUUAUAAUAAUCUGCAAUUGAAAACAAACACACGUAUUAUAAUUUGGCGUAGGUUUUAUAAGGAAUCACAUAACUAUACCACGACCCCUAAACUAUGAAUUAAAAUUAAAAUAUGUAACAGGGUUGGGGGUUUGAUUUCACAAUUUAACCACAUAGCUUGUAAUAUUAAAAAUAAGGUCACAUGAUAAAUGUUGUGUAAUAGAUUACAAUUGAACUAUAACAUAUCUUCACCCAAACAUUCUGUUAAACACCUAACAAGCAGUAACGCAAUUGAUGUCGACGACAACCCAAAUUAGACAUGCCCUUUACAAUUUAUACCAUUACAUGUAUAUCUCCUCUUGAACCAUAGCAUAACAAGUGUGUGCGCACAGUUAAGUACAAAGGAUGCCUUGGAAAUUAGCCUUUGCUCUUAUGAGAUAAUACUUUAACCAUGUACAUGCAAUGACAAAUAGGCAAUUAAAUUUAGUAGAAAGCAUGCCUUUGGUUGAAAUUAGCAAAGAAAAUUCACAUAGGCAAUACAUCGAACGCCUUGUGGGCAAUCUAUAAUUCUCUUGUAGCAUAAAUUUAUGAUAAAUCAUGCAAAAUCAUAUGCAUAUGGGCCUAUUUCUGACAUUCAGUCUCCAUGUCUUACCACGCAUGGAAAGCAACAGAACAACAAGAAUGAGAAGAUUGAGCAUCAUAGAUUUAGAUGGAGUGCAAGACAUACCUUAGAUCUAGUAGGAGAAGACUGAAAUCAAGUAGAGAGAGCGAUUGAAUUAAAGUACGAUGUAUCAAGAAGAAUUUAGUAUAUUUAACGUGAUGUGGAACGACACAGUUACCAAAAAAACAAAACUGAAGUGGCAGAACUCGCGUAAGUGGUUUGAAGAAGUUAAAUGGGUUUAGGAGUGUGAACCUGAAGGGGCUUAUAACUUUUUUUAAAUUCCAAACCUGACCCCAACACCGGGGCACUGGGUUUUAAGCGUGAUUGGGCACCGGGGUGCUACUGUGCAGUGUCUGGAAAAGGUCCUAGCGUUCGGGCACUGUAUCCUUUCUCAUUUAGAGCGCCAGGGCGCUGAGCACUCGUCUGGGCUACUGUAGUAUAGCACCGAGGUGCUGAAUUCCUUCUCAUGUAGAGCGCCGGGGUGCUGUGUUUUCCUUUGGUUUCUGUUAGCCAGCGUUGGGGCGCUUCUUGCCUUUACUUUCCGAGCACUGGGGUGCUGCUGCCUAAGCCUUGGUUCCAUCUGUUGUCUUUCCUAACACAAUAAGGAUAGUGUAUAAAUAUUAGAAAUAACUACA
rnacentral:lncRNA from 1 species